rnacentral:rRNA from 1 species
GGCGGCGUGCUAAUACAUGCAAGUCGAACGAGUUCUGAUUAUUGAAAGGUGCUUGCAUCUUGAUUUAAUUUUGAACGAGUGGCGGACGGGUGAGUAACACGUGGGUAACCUGCCCUUAAGUGGGGGAUAACAUUUGGAAACAGAUGCUAAUACCGCAUAAAUCCAAGAACCGCAUGGUUCUUGGCUGAAAGAUGGCGUAAGCUAUCGCUUUUGGAUGGACCCGCGGCGUAUUAGCUAGUUGGUGAGGUAACGGCUCACCAAGGCAAUGAUACGUAGCCGAACUGAGAGGUUGAUCGGCCACAUUGGGACUGAGACACGGCCCAAACUCCUACGGGAGGCAGCAGUAGGGAAUCUUCCACAAUGGACGCAAGUCUGAUGGAGCAACGCCGCGUGAGUGAAGAAGGCUUUCGGGUCGUAAAACUCUGUUGUUGGAGAAGAAUGGUCGGCAGAGUAACUGUUGUCGGCGUGACGGUAUCCAACCAGAAAGCCACGGCUAACUACGUGCCAGCAGCCGCGGUAAUACGUAGGUGGCAAGCGUUAUCCGGAUUUAUUGGGCGUAAAGCGAGCGCAG